GCAAGGACAAGAAGAAAAGUAUUUAUGCACUGUUAUAGUGUCAAGGUGUAUCCUAUACAUUAGUAACAGUCAGAGGAUACAUGUUAGUGAACAAAAUAUAUCUUUAAAUAAGGAAAUAAAUAAUUAAAUAUAUAUGCAUGUAGAUAGAUAGACAGACAGACAGACAGACAGAAAGCUAAGCAACUGAUCUGCAGGUUAUCUUCUUGCUCUCUUUUCUCCAAGUUAAAGUGAAUACAGCGUGAGUGUGUGUUGCAAACAUUACCCUCAGUCCAGCACAGCUACACACGAGAGGUCAGCCUGCAGGUUUUGGAGGCAAAGAAACUGCUCUGCUUGAUGUGAAGAACCAAGGCAUCAGUUGCUGUCAGAGAAAAGAUGCUGUCAAGGUGUGUCAUGUCCAUGCUAGAGCAUCUCUACCACCAUCUCUCCCCCCAUCUAGCUGUA